UACGAAGGGGGCUAGCGUUGCUCGGAAUCACUGGGCGUAAAGCGCACGUAGGCGGAUUGCUAAGUCAGGGGGUGAAAUCCUGGAGCUCAACUCCAGAACUGCCUUUGAUACUGGGGAUCUCGAGUCCGGAAGAGGUGAGUGGAACUCCGAGUGUAGAGGUGAAAUUCGUAGAUAUUCGGAAGAAACACCAGUGGCGAAGGCGGCUCACUGGUCCGGUACUGACGCUGAGGUGCGAAA
rnacentral:rRNA from 1 species